UACAGAGGGUGCGAGCGUUAAUCGGAAUUACUGGGCGUAAAGCGUGCGUAGACGGUUAUUUAAGUCGGGUGUGAAAGCCCCGGGCUCAACCUGGGAAUUGCAUUCGAGACUGAAUAGCUAGGGUACGGUAGAGGGAAGCGGAAUUUCCGGUGUAGCGGUGAAAUGCGUAGAUAUCGGAAGGAACAUCAGUGGCGAAAGCGGCUUCCUGGACCAGUACCGGCGUUCAGGCACGAAAGCGUGGGGAGCAAACAGG
rnacentral:rRNA from 1 species